AGCAGCCGCGGUAAUUCCAGCUCCAAUAGCGUAUAUUAAAGUUGUUGCAGUUAAAAAGCUCGUAGUUGAAUUUCGGGAUCAAUAUAACGGUCAUGCCGUUGGUAUGCACUGUUAUAAUUGAUUUCUCACCUUCUAAAGAACCGUAAUGCCAUUAAUUUGGUGUCACGGGGAAUUAGGACUGUUACCUUGAAAAAUUAGAGUGUUUAAAGCAGGCUCACGCUUGAAUACAUUAGCAUGGAAUAAUGAAAUAGGACAUCCGAUUCUAUUUUGUUGGUUUCUAGGAUCGAUGUAAUGAUUAAUAGGAUAGUUGGGGGCAUUAGUAUUCAAUUGUCAGAGGUGAAAUUCUUGGAUUUAUUGAAGACUAACUACUGCGAAAGCAUUUGCCAAGGAUGUUUU
rnacentral:rRNA from 1 species